rnacentral:rRNA from 1 species
GAGUAAAGAUUUCGGUCGCUUUGGGAGGAGCUCGCUUACUAUCAGCUUGUUGGUAGGGUAAUGGCCUACCAAGGCUAUGACGGUUAGGGGGUGUGAGAGCAUGACCCCCAGCAUUGGCACUGAAACACCGGCCAAACACCUACGGGUGGCUGCAGUCGAGAAUCUUCCACAAUGGGGGAAACCCUGAUGGAGCGAUGCUGCGUGCGGGAUGAAGGCCUUCGGGUUGUAAACCGCUUUUGUAGGGGACGAAAUUUUUGACGGUACCCUUUCGAAUAAGAGGUUGCUAACUCUGUGCCAGCAGCAGCGGUAAUACAGAGACCUCAAGCGUUAUCCGGAUUUACUGGGCGUAAAGCGUCUGUAGGGGGUUUACUAAGUUCCAAGUAAAAUUUCAAGGCUCAACUUUGAAUUCGCUUGGAAAACUAAUAAACUGGAGUCUAGCUGAGGUGCAUGGAACUUGUGGUGUAGGAGUGAAAUCCGUUGAUAUCACAAGGAACACCAAAGGCGAAGGCAUUGCACUGGGCUAGCACUGACCCUGAGAGACGAAAGCGUGGGGAGCAAAACGGAUUAGAUACCCGUGUAGUCCACGCCCUAAACGAUGAAUGCUAAAUGUUCGGGGAUUCGACCCCCUGGGUGUUACAGCUAACGCGUUAAGCAUUCCGCCUGGGAAGUACGGCCGCAAGGCUAAAACUCAAAGGAAUAGACGGGGAUCCGCACAAGCGGUGGAGCGUCUGGUUUAAUUCGACAGUAAGCGUGGUACCUCACCAGGGUUUGACAUCCCUUGACAGCCUUGGAAACAAGGUUUCCUUCGGGCAAGGUGACAGGUGCUGCAUGGUCGUCGUCAGUUCGUGCCGUGAGGUGUUCCGUUAAGUCGGGAAACGAACGAAACCCCUAUUGCAUGUUACAAUUUCUCAUGCAAGACUGCCCGGAUAUACUGGGAGGAAGGUGGGGAUGACGUCAGAUCUGCAUGGUCCUUAUACCCUGGGCGACACAGGCGCUACAAUGGCAGAGACAAAGGGUUGCAAAACCGCAAGGUGAAGCUAAUCCCAAAAACUUUGUCUAAGUUCGGAUUGAAGGCUGCAAUUCGCCUUCAUGAAGCUGGAAUCGCUAGUAAUCGUGAAUCAGCCACGUCACGGUGAAUAUGUUCCCGGAUCUUGUACUCACCGCCCGUCACACCAAGAGAGU